UACAGAGGUGGCAAGCGUUGUUCGGAAUUACUGGGCGUAAAGGGCGCGUAGGCGGUCUUGCAAGUCCCGUGUGAAAUCCCUCGGCUCAACUGAGGAACUGCACGGGAAACUGCUUGGCUUGAGUUCGGGAGAGGGAAGCGGAAUUCCGGGUGUAGCGGUGGAAAUGCGUAGAUAUCCGGAGGAACACCGGUGGCGAAGGCGGCUUCCUGGACCGACACUGACGCUGAGGCGCGAAAGCUAGGGGAGCAAACGGG
rnacentral:rRNA from 1 species